ensembl:lncRNA
CUGGGUUACUUACCUGGAAAAAUAGGUUAUGUUUGAAUAGGAAGAGCCCCAUGGGAUAUCACCAUCUGUUACUUCCUCCAGGUUCAUUUAGGGUAGCUCAGCUAAUUUUUUAAAUUUUUAUCUUGCAUAUCUGCCCUGGGUGAGUACUGACCUGCUAUGCUGGCAGCUGAGCCUGCUGCUUUUUUGUUCCUUCAAGCUGUCAUGAACUUCAUCUGGAGAGCCGAAUGCAGCUAUAUUGAAAUAAGAGGACAAAGGCUUUCUCAACACAGCAUGCAAACCUGGGCCAAAAAGCACCAAGUUUUUUAUUCACAGGAAUCAGAUUUGUGGAUCUGGAUUAGUUCUGGAACAGAGAUACAAUCCUGGAACCUCAAUACAGAUCAACAUCUGUUGCUAGUGACAUUGAAGCUCAUGUUGCGUAUUGGCUGGUGAAAGAGAACAAAGCGAAGUGUCUGCUCUACGUUCUGGAUCCUGUCCAUCUUGCUUCACCAUAUGGAGUGAUAAUGGG